AAAGUAUGCGAGUGGUGAUUAUUAAAAUUAUAAUACGAGUGUAAUAGAUAGAUAACUAUAAUGAAUGGCAAUAAUAUUGAUAACUCAGUACGAAAUCCAUGUCGUGUGGACACUAAAAAAAUGAUUUGUAUAAAACUUUACAUGUUUUACAAAAAUUCAAACAAAUGUCCCGGAUGAAUAAUAUUCGAUCAGCAUUAAUCAAUCAACAGUCAGGAGCAGCAAAAAAAGUUAACAAAAUAAAUGCAUGCCAUUGACUUAAUAAUAAUUUGGUUGAAUAUUGAACUGAUGGAUUGAUUUUUUUUUUUUAUCUUUUCGUCAAGCAUUUUCUAGAUUUUCUUCCACGAGUAUUUUGCCGUCUUAUUCCGCGUUUAUAAAUUUGUCAAUAAUGCACUGAAUUCCGACAAGUACGAACAUAUUAGUAUAGGUGUCCAAUUGAUGGGAUUUCUCUAUAAUCGUACUUCGGGUCUUUUUUCAAAGUCCAUUGUGUCGUAGUUUCGCUGGUUCGAAUACAAUCAAAGCGGAUUCUAUUAAGUGUACUACAGAUUGAUCACUACUGAUCAAAUUCGGACCUGACUCUUUGACAACCUGUUUCAUUGUGAUGACAGGGUACUUGGUAUUCCCAUCUCGUUACUCGUUCGUGAUUAGCUGAGCUCUCCUCUAGUAUCAGUCAAAUAUCAUUUUAAUAUAUAAUUGUUGGAUAUUAUUUUUUAAACUUAGAUAAUGGCAAAUUAUUAGCUAAACAUAAAAUAUCAGAUCAAAUACCAAAAAUUUGUCAACGUUUAAAUUCGAAUGGUUCUCGCGUUGUCCAUUAAAUGUAUCGGAAAACGAAAUGAUGAAGAUAAUAAUAUAAUGGCAUACAUUGUUAUAUAAAGAAAUUGUUUAAACACACUCCAACACGUUUUGGAUUCCGAGUGAGUUGAAGAAAGCGGUUGGUUUUAAAAUAACUAAGUGAUUCUCUCAGAAAUUGUGUAUUAUUGUAAAAUAAAUACACCAAAAGUUUCACUUUACAUUUCAUCAAUUGAAAUUUAAAUAUGACAAUAGAAUAAUAGUUGACAACUUUACAAUUAUGUAGUGUUUAAAAAAUUUAAAAAAAUCGUAUAUCCAAAACAAUGGCCUGUAUACAAACACAAAGAAUAUUCGCUUUAAUUAUUUUGAUAUUUAUAUUUAUU